UACAGAGGGUGCAAGCGUUGUUCGGAAUUAUUGGGCGUAAAGCGCGUGUAGGCGGUUCUGCAAGUCGGAUGUGAAAGCCCUCGGCUUAACCGAGGAAGUGCGUUCGAUACUACAGAACUUGAGUACCGGAGAGGGUGGCGGAAUUCCCGGUGUAGAGGUGAAAUUCGUAGAUAUCGGGAGGAACACCAGUGGCGAAGGCGGCCACCUGGACGGCUACUGACGCUGAGACGCGAAAGCGUGGGGAGCAAACAGG
rnacentral:rRNA from 1 species